CUCUAUAGAACCACUAUCAAAUGAACCCUAAACAGCUCAAUCUAAACCCCAUAACAAGACCCUUGCCUACUGGACUGCUUUUCUCGUUUCUAUUUUCUGAUGUAUCAUGACAGAAUCUAUUAGCAUUCACUAGAACAAUAAGAAACCCUAUUCAUGCGCUAACAUUCAUCAAAACCUGAUGCUGGAAUGAUCCUAAAAUCCUCAUUUCCAUAUUAUUUACCCAAUUGUUUUGUCAGGGUUUUUGGUGCUUCAUCUCUAUCUCUUUUGGCAUGUGUUAUGGGAACCUAAUCUUAAUCAUCAUGGCUUUACAUAUGUACUAGCCAUAUUAUUUAAUGCUGUACUCCGAUGAUUGGAAAUGCCCCAUGUGGCUUCUUAAAUCAUAACAUGUUCGUAUCAAAUGUUUAUUCUAAAUAAUAAAUAGGAAUCUGUUUUUUUAGUUGGAUAAGGAAAUGUGUUUUCAUCGGAUGUUUUUGAGUUUGAAGGGGAGGAUUGGCAUCCCUUUCAGUUCCUGGAGUAAUCUCUCUAGUCAUCAGAAACUGGAGCUAGAGCAAAUUGGAAGAUGAAAUCGGGUCAUUGUCUUCAGGGCUUCCUGGAAGGGACCUACUAUCAGAUAUCGAGGAAUUGGAUAUUGGAUAUCUCCUUGAUCUGUGACCUGUGAGGUGAUUGAUGGAGUUCAGAUUUGCCAUUGGAGUUGUGCUCAUGGUUGAUUGAGGAAGUACAAGUAGAAACAUGAUGAGAAGGAUAAAAAAAUCCGAGAUCUAUCUUGUGAGCUGGAGCAUGAGAGACAACGAACUACAGCUAUUCAAGAACAGCUACAUAUGAUUUUGAAAUAUCUAGAGGAACAUGCUGAGUACAUAUCAGUAAGAGUAGAAGGUAUUGUUAACAAUAUGAGACAGAUUGAGUCCACAGGCCUGGAUAAUUCAAACCACAGAUGAAGAGGUGGCACAAUCACAUUCUUCUGUUGAUGUCCUUCAUCUUUGAACUAAAUUAUUAAUAAUUUCAGUAGCGUGGGUAGAUUGCGGCUCAAGUCUGUAGCUGUGGUCAGGCUGGAUAAGAUGUAACAUGGUGUUUUGCAGUUGGAUUUGUAUUGUAAUUCUAUUGUCAGUAAGUUCACUGUCUGUAGACAAAUACCCACUUGAGAGCAAUGCAUACAGCAGAUUGACCA